CACACUCGGCCUGAACUCCACCAAGGCAAAAACCACACUGAGAAGCUGGGUUUCUGGAGCCUUGUGCAUCCCCUGGGAUGCUCUCCGGCCUUAGCGAUUCUAGCACAGUCCAUGCAGGAUGGGGGGAUUCGCACAUCAGCCUCACUUCUGCUCGUUGUUUUGCCUCCAUUUUGAGCAAAGCAUUCAUCAGAACAUCAGUGAUAAAUCUUAUUCGAUUUGAAGUUAAGAGCAUCUUGACCAGCAGAAGGGAGAGUGACCCAAAGGUCAGAGAACUUCUCAAGUGAGUGGUUACAUAAAAGGAAGAAACAUCUAAGUGGUGGAGAGUUGGAGUCUCGGCAUGGAAAACCAGUGAAGCGAUUUCUCAAGAAACUUUUCUAAAGAAAGCAGGGAACCACCGCACAGGACAACAUCCUGGCCCCAUGUGCCCCAUGCUAUUCUCCAGCCCAACACGAAGUGGUGCCCGCCUCCCUUCCCCGGACACAGGAGGGAUUAGAAAAGCAAGUUUCUGUCCACUCCCAAGAAGUCAAUCGAGACAAUCCGGUUCUCCACUUCCUCUGGCCUCCGGGGAAGCAGCGACCCCUCCCCUCAGUGCACCCAGAGGUGCAGAGCAGCAAAAUGAUCAUUACAGGAGCAGCUGACUUUUCAAGUCCAUCUCUCCCCUUUGCUGGCCUGGUCUGCUGUGU